CGCUGGCGCUGCGCCGGGCUGACGCGGACGUCGUUCUCGCCGAUGCCCGGCCCGUGGCAGUUCCAGAAGUCGUCCGCCAGCGU
rnacentral:tRNA from 1 species